CACAGCAGUGGCAGGGUUCUGGGAUCAAACAUCAACCCAGCCUGGCAGGAGCCUGAUGUAAUGGGUGCAGGCAUGCAGGGUUAUGUGGGCAGAGUACAUGCGUGCCUCCUCCUUGAACCACAGCUCAGCACCGGUCAGUGAUGACAACACCUAAUGAGUUCACAAAAAGUUGCAAAUAAGUGAAUUUGUGCGAAGUCCCUCUCACGCUUGAGCCACUAAGUUGCAUCCCAUGUAGUAAGACUGCAGGGACCUGAUGGUGCUGAGAUGUUGCUACCAGAAAACUCAACUAUGUCUGUGAGCUCAGAAAGCACUACAGAUGGUCUCUGUUUUGGGAACUGUAACCUCAAGUGUAAUGUGUGCUAGCUGAUCUCGAGCAAUCUUAUUGCUUAUGGCUGUGAAUGAAGAACAACGUGCUUUCAAAUCCCACACAAACCACGGUGUGUACUAACUCUCAAGAGCCAUCUGCAAGAUCCAGAGCCUUGGACUUGGCAGUGGAGCCUCCUGUGAAUAACUGGUCCAAGCCAGGAGUGGAGAUUUUCUGGUCGUACUUUUAUGUUCCUAAUAUUUCUAUGAAAAACUGGCAUGAUUCUGACAUGUAUCCCGUACUCGUAUCCCUCAACUGGUGAUGAUAAACCUUCAAGAGCAGAAUGAAAUAGUGAUGACUGCUGUAACUGUUGCACAGCCAAGUGGUAAGAACCAAUAUUUUUAGCUAUGUUUAAGUUGUCAGGCAUUCACUUGGUCUGGCAAUAUUUUCAACAUCUCCUUUUGUAAGUAACUGGGAAAGUUACUGUGUAUUUAUAAGCCAGCCAACUAUUAAUAUAUCAAACAAAAUUAUAUACUUUUCACUUAAGAAAAACAUACAUAUUGAACAUGCUUUAGUGAACUCUGACUGGGGCAUUAUUUGUGCUAGAAACAAUUACUAUUUAGUUUUGUAACAGCUGGAUAUUGCCAGACUGUUGGAAAGUAUUGAAAAUAUUGUGUUGGAUGAAGAACAGAAUUAGUGGGGGAUAAAUACCUAAGCUAAUAUUGACACCUAAGUUGAUGCCAUUUGAGCCUUUGGUACUACAUCCUACAAUUAGACAUUACACUCACAUACUUGUUAGUCUCGUGUUUAAACAAGGUAUCUUCUAUACGAAGCUGUAUAUAUACUGUUCACAGUAGGGAAACACAAGGCAGUAGUCAGCAAACAGCAUUUAUACCUUAGAGCCUGUGGGGCCUUUAGGACCAUAUAACGUGUACCUGUUCUCUAAGUUACUGACUGCUUACAGCCAAAGCGUUCUGAUGCUGCUAAGUUUAAUGUGAUCAGUAGCAGAAAUAGCAACCUGAAAAUCAACCAUAAAGCAUUGCCUGUGGAAAAAGAUGGUGCACGCAUCACCCAGCGCUGAGCCCGGCACUACAUAUUUGCCUUUGGUUCAUUGACAAUUUCUGGAGGCCAAUUUUGGUGCUGUUGCAUUAGCAGGAUAUCUUUUUAAGCAGAAUAAAUGCUGCUGUUCUUCACA
rnacentral:lncRNA from 1 species